rnacentral:rRNA from 1 species
UACGGAGGGUGCAAGCGUUGUCCGGAAUCACUGGGCGUAAAGGGCGCGUAGGCGGCGUUUUUAAGUCGGGGGUGAAAGCCUGUGGCUCAACCACAGAAUGGCCUUCGAUACUGGGACGCUUGAGUAUGGUAGAGGUUGGUGGAACUGCGAGUGUAGAGGUGAAAUUCGUAGAUAUUCGCAAGAACACCGGUGGCGAAGGCGGCCAACUGGACCAUUACUGACGCUGAGGCGCGAAAGCGUGGGGAGCAAACAGG